UGGUGGGUAGUUUGACUGGGGCGGUCUCCUCCCAAAGCGUAACGGAGGAGCACGAAGGUUAGCUAAUCCUGGUCGGACAUCAGGAGGUUAGUGCAAUGGCAUAAGCUAGCUUGACUGCGAGCGUGACGGCGCGAGCAGGUGCGAAAGCAGGUCAUAGUGAUCCGGUGGUUCUGAAUGGAAGGGCCAUCGCUCAACGGAUAAAAGGUACUCCGGGGAUAACAGGCUGAUACCGCCCAAGAGUUCAUAUCGACGGCGGUGUUUGGCACCUCGAUGUCGGCUCAUCACAUCCUGGGGCUGAAGUAGGUCCCAAGGGUAUGGCUGUUCGCCAUUUAAAGUGGUACGCGAGCUGGGUUUAGAACGUCGUGAGACAGUUCGGUCCCUAUCUGCCGUGGGCGCUGGAGAAUUGAGGGGGGCUGCUCCUAGUACGAGAGGACCGGAGUGGACGCAUCACUGGUGUUCGGGUUGUCAUGCCAAUGGCACUGCCCGGUAGCUAAAUGCGGAAGAGAUAAGUGCUGAAAGCAUCUAAGCACGAAACUUGCCCCGAGAUGAGUUCUCCCUGAGACUUUAAGUCUCCUGAAGGAACGUUAAAGACGAUGACGUUGAUAGGCCGGGUGUGUAAGCGCAGCGAUGC
rnacentral:rRNA from 1 species